GGAGCGGUAGUUCAGCCUGGUCAGAACGCCGGCCUGUCAAGCCGGAGGUCGCGGGUUCAAAUCCCGUCCGCUCCGCCA
rnacentral:tRNA from 1 species